CCCGCUGAACUUAAGCAUAUCAAUAAGCGGAGGAAAAGAAACUAACAAGGAUUCCCCUAGUAACUGCGAGUGAAGCGGGAAAAGCUCAAAUUUAAAAUCUGGUGGCCUCUGGUCAUCCGAGUUGUAAUUUAGAGAAGCGUCUUCCGCGCUGGACCAUGCACAAGUCUCCUGGAAUGGAGCGUCAUAGAGGGUGAGAAUCCCGUCUUUGGCAUGGAUGCACCAGGGCUUCUGUGAUGCGCUCUCAAAGAGUCGAGUUGUUUGGGAAUGCAGCUCAAAAUGGGUGGUGAACUCCAUCUAAAGCUAAAUAUUGGCGAGAGACCGAUAGCGAACAAGUACCGUGAGGGAAAGAUGAAAAGCACUUUGGAAAGAGAGUGAAACAGUACGUGAAAUUGUUGAAAGGGAAACGCUUGAAGUCAGUCGCGUCGACCGAGACUCAGCCUCGCCUUGGCUUGGUGUACUUCUCGGCUGACGGGUCAGUGUCAAUUUUGGGCCUCGGAUAAUGACAAGGGAAAGGUGGCACCUUUAUAAGUGUGUUAUAGUCUCCUGUCGGAUGCGAGGGUCGGGAUUGAGGAACUCAGCACGCGCCUUUUGGUGUCGGGGCUUCGGCCUACGCUACGUGCUUAGGAUGCUGGCAUAAUGGCUUUAAACGACCCGUCUUGAAACACGG
rnacentral:rRNA from 1 species